GAAGGACUUCCGGUGGCUUCCAAGGCGACUCCGUAGUGGAUGCAGCGCCGGACGCCACAGCCGAAAAACAGAAUCUUGGAACUGGUUUAGUACAAUCCAGGUCGAGUUCCUUGUUUUUUAUCCGAGUGGCCGGCAGGCCCAUGUGCUGUCUUGUUUUUAACACAUCAGCUCUUGCCGGAAGCCGCUAAGAGAUAAAAUAGGAAGUCCCACCCUUCCCUUAGAGAAGGAAAACGGAGAGCCGAAGGAGUCAAUCUAAAUUCGAUGAGCGCGUCGGGCUCCAAGGCAGGCGCUGUCAGCCCGGGAGGGCUGUCUGGGAUUUCUAGAGGGUCCCAGAACGGGUUCUUCCCAGGCCGAUCCCGCCUGCUUCCUGCCCCGUCUCUCCACCCGCCUCCCGCCCUCUGUAAGGGACCCCGAGGGCGGCGCCGGAAACACGGAGAAGGCCCAGAACGGCGCGGGACCCGAGAGGCCUACGUUGGCAAACGCAGCCCGCUGCCCCUUUGCUCGCUUCCCCCGGGCCUGGAGUGGCUCCUGUCGCUUCUGGCGCUCCGAUUUCGAGAAAUGACUUUCAGCUGUGCAAGGCGAGAAUGCUACUUUAGAUGAUGAGAAAAAAUCUCUCGAAUGGCUCCCAAAAUGAGGUCCUUGUUUAAGAGGCCACAGGAAGCCGCUAGCCGAACUCUGAUACCAAAGAGGAGGCCAAGAAGCGGACUGUGGCUUGGUGACCUGUUUGGUAUUGCCAAAUUUUCAGCUUUUAUUAAAGCUGAAACACCUUGGCUGUUUAAAACGUUCGACAAGGACUUUUUUAUGAACGUUAACGGCACAGCAUACGGGUUUUUUGGAAAAAAAAAAAGGCAGGACUUCAGCCCGUCCGCCCCCUUGUGCAGGUCCAUUCAUGAACCUCGAGUUAGAGGCCUUUCUUCUGAAACUCAGAAUCUAGUAGGGAAGACCUGUGUAGACGAAUAAAAAUAAAUACAUCACAGCUUGUUAAGUGCUGUGACAAAGAGGCAGUGAAAUCCUGCUUGAGGUCAUCUGCCUUGCUAAAGAGGUUUGACUAUGUUGUAGGCACAGGGUUAGGGUUAGACUCUGUAAUGGGAAGUUAUGUGAUCAGAUUUCUGUUUAGGAAGAUCACUGGCCAGGCGGGGUGGCUUACGCCUGUAAUCCCAAUACUUUGGGAGGCCGAGUCGGUGGAUUGCUUGAGGCUAGGAUUUUGAGACCAGCCUGGGGAAACCGCGUCUCUACUAAAAAUUUGAAAUUAGCCAGGCAUGGUGGUGCGAGCCUGUAAUUCCAGCUACUUGGAGGCUGAGGCGGGAGAAUAGCUUGAACCCAGUGGCGGAGGCUGCAGUGAGCCGAGAUUGCGCCACUGCACUCCAGCCUGGGCGACAGAGCGAGAUUCCGUCUCAAAAAAAUCAUUCCAACGAGUGGAUAAAGAAAAUGUGAUAUAUAUGCACUAUGGAAUACUAAGCCAUAAGAAGGAAUGAAAUAAUGGCAUUUGCAGCAACCUAGAUGGAGUUGGAGACCAUUAUUCUAAGUGAAGUAACUCAAGAAUGGAAAACCAAAUAUUGUAUGUUCUCACUCGUAAGUGGGAGCUAAGCUGCGAAGAUGCAAAGGCAUAAGAAUGAUAUAGUGGACUUUGAGGACUCAAGGGUUGAAGGAUGAGACUACACAUUGGGUACAGUGUGCACUGCUUGGGUGAUGAGUGCACCAAAAUCUCAGAACUCACCACUGAAGAACUUCCCCAUGUAACCAAAAACCACCUGUUCCACAGAAACUAUCGAAAUAACAUUUUUAAAACUUUACUAUUUCUGAAUAAAAUUUACAUACAUUUCUCAGAAAAAAAAAUAUUUGGAAUUGAGGUAUCUAAUAGAGAACUGAGUUAAAUUAUUGCCACUUAAAAACACAAAGUGAUAUAGCCACUUUAUGAAUUAAUCAGUCAGCAGUGGCUAGGUUAUGCUUAGUGGUUUAUAACCAAAUCUUAGUUUAUAACAACAAAUGUGUAUUGUUAAUUCCCACUACAAGUUUAUAACGACAUUGCUGGAUGCUACACUCCAUGUCUCUUUGUGGGACCCAGGCUCAUGGGACUUCUGUUACCUGCAUUAGAGAGAGAGAAGACAACAAAAUAUGCACUGGUUCUUGAAGCUUUGGCCCAGAAGUAAAAUAUGUCUUUUACCUGUUCACAUUGCAUUGGGCCAGGGCAAUUAUCAUGGCUGCAAGUAACUUCAAAAGGAUGGGGAAGUGCGAUCUUGGCAUGUGUCAGAAGAAAUGAAAACAUUUGGUGAAGAGCAUUAAUGACUGUCUUUACAGGAAAAAAGCAAUCAAAUAGACAUGAUUGCUUGUUUCAGUUUCAUCAUUUCCUACUGUGUUACCUAAACUUUCUGAGCCCCAGUUUCUUAUUACUAAAAUAAAAUAAAGAUGAUAUUCACUUCAAGGACUUUGUGUUAACUAGGGUAAAAAAAUUGAAAACUAGUAAGUUAUGCAAAUUAGAAAUGUAUAAUAUUACUGCUUUGAAAGUGAUGGUGAAAUGUAGAAUAAUUGGAAGGAUAACACAAAGCACUUAUACCAGGAGGCUUUUAGCUGCAGAUAAUAGAAAUGAACCUCCACUACUUUAAUCAAUAAAAAAGUGUAUCAGCUCACAAAUUUGUCAUCCAGACAUAAAGGAGGCUUCAGAAUUUAUUGACUCAGGAGUUGAAUGUUGGUAUCAAGGACCUAGAUUUUUCUCAUCACUCUGCACUUCAAUUCUCAAUGCCCUAUUGAACAUCAGGCUGUAGUAAGAUGGCUAGAGUGAUUCCAGGGAUAACAUCUAGAGAUAAAAAAGAGAACUCCUUUUCUUAUGAUUUUUUUCUUAAGAGAAAAGGAAUUUCCCAAAAGCCCCCAGCAAGCAUGCCUUCACAUCCCAUGGCCAGAAGUGGCUCACAUGUGUACCCUGAGCUAAGCACUGCAGACAGGAAUGGAAUCGCCUGUAGGCCUCAGAGACCACCUGGAUCUUGGGAAGGUGUCAGCUCUACCUGUGGCACUUGGCUGAGUGGGAAAGGGAUGGAAACAUGAAUAAAGUAAGAAUUAGGAAGGAAAAGGAGAAAUGGAUCCAGGGUAUGAAGCCAAUAGUUUAGUUAUCUCAACAAAUAUGAUUGAUUUCAUCUUUAUGAAUGUGAUGACCUAAUUUAAUACAUUCAAUCAAUGAAGUAAAAAAAAGUGCAAGGACAAUAUGACAUCUGUCAUUCUCUGUUGAGAUUUGAGAGGUAAUAAUACCAAGAACGUGUGGUGACCUGGGUCCUCACUGCUACUGUCUUCCUGUACCUGGACACUUCUAGCAAGAGACUUCAACUUCAGAACAAAGAGGAUCCCAACUUGUAGCUGCAUUAUACACACCCCAGCAGCACACAUAAGUUGAUUUCUAAUUAUUCCUCUUUAAGAAAUUGUUUGUGGAAUAUUUAUCUAUUUAUAAAUGGAAAAAUAGAAAAUU
rnacentral:lncRNA from 1 species